CGAUGGGGAAGUGGUGCUUGCACCAUGGUAACCAUGGCCGGACGGGUGAGUAACGCGUAAGGGACUUACCUGCAGGAGUGGGAUAACAUGGGGAAACUCCUGACAAGACCGGAUAAUGUCUUGGAGCUGCAUGGCUUUAUGAUGAAAGGAGACGCCUGCGGAGAGCCUUGCGUCCUAUUAGCUAGCUUGGUGAUGUAAGGGCUCACCAAGGCGAAGAUAGGUAGCCGGCCUGAGCAGGGUGGACGGCCCACAAGGGGACCUGAGAUACGGCCCUUACUCCUACGGGAGGCAGCAGUGGGGAAUAUUGGACAAUGGGGGCAACCCUGAUCCAGCAAUUCUGUGUGCACGAAGAAGGUUUUCGGAUUGUAAAGUGCUUUCAGCAGGGAAGAAGUAAGUGACGGUACCUGCAGAAGAAGCGACGGCUAAAUACGUGCCAGCAGCCGCGGUAAUACGUAUGUCGCGAGCGUUAUCCGGAAUUAUUGGGCAUAAAGGGCAUCUAUGGCGGCCUGACAAGUCACGGGGUGAAAACUCUGCG
rnacentral:rRNA from 1 species